GACGAACGCUGGCGGCGCGCUUAACACAUGCAAGUCGAACGGAAAGGCCUGCUUUCCCUUGUGGAUUGCGGGUACUCGAGUGGCGAACGGGUGAGUAACACGUGAGUGAUCUGCCCCCAACUUGGGUAUAAGCCUGGGAAACUGGGUCUAAUUCCCGAUAGGACUGCAGGGUGGUGCCUGUGGUGGAAAACGAUUUUCUAGUGGUUGGGGAUGAGCUCGCGGCCUAUCAGCUUGUUGGUGGGGUAAUGGCCUACCAAGGCGGCGACGGGUAGCCGGCCUGGGAGGGUGGGCGGCCACAUUGGGACUGAGAUACGGCCCAGACUACGACGGGAGGCAGCAGUGGGGAAUAUUGCACAAUGGGCGGAAGCCUGAUGCAGCGACGCGGCGUGGGGGAUGACGGCCUUCGGGUUGUAAACUCCUUUCGACCGCGAGGAAGCCACCUGGUUGGAAGGGUGGUGACGGUAGUGGUAGAAGAAGCACCGGCUAACUACGUG
rnacentral:rRNA from 1 species